UAACUGUCAUCAAUAGUAGAUUGUAUAAAUUGUGGUAUAGUCAUAAAAUGGAAUGCUGCUUAGUCAUCAGGAGGGACUGCAUUACUGAUAUAUGCAACGACGUGGGUGAAUCUCACAGAAAGUUGAACAAAAGACGACAGACUUGAAAGCUGUUUAAUUCUUCUUAUACGAAGUUCAAGUAUAGGCAUAGCUGGGUGAUAGAAGUCAGGCUAGUGCUUACCUCUGUGAGAGUAUUUACUGAGAGGAGGCCCAGGGGAGCUUCUGAGGUGCAGGAAAUGUUCUGCAGCUUGGUCUUGGGUUGUUGUUACAUGAGUGCAUGCAGAUGUAAGAAUUCACUGAGCUGCGUGUACACUGAAGAUUUUUUUAAACUCUUUAGUGUACUUCAAUCAUUAAAAUAAA